UUGGACAAAACGGAGGAAGGUGGGGAUGACGUCAAAUCAUCCAUGCCCCUUAUGUUCUGGGCUACACACGUGCUACAAUGGACCGGUACAGACGGACGCAAAGCCGCGAGGUGGAGCAAAUCCUAAAAAAGCCGGUCUCCAGUCCGGAUUGCAGGCUGCAAUUCGCCUGCAUGAAGUCGGAAUCGCUAGUAAUCGCAGGUCAGCAUACUGCGGUGAAUACGUUCCCGGGCCUU
rnacentral:rRNA from 1 species